rnacentral:rRNA from 1 species
GUGCCAGCAGCCGCGGUAAUACCGGCAGCUCAAGUGAUGUCCCAUAUUAUUGGGCCUAAAGCGUCCGUAGCUGGCCGAACAAGUCCCCCGGGAAAUCCACCCGCUCAACGGGUGGGCGUCCGGUAGAAACUGGACGGCUUGGAACCGGAAGGCUCAGAGAGUACGUCCGGGGUAGGAGUGAAAUCCCGUAAUCCCGGACGGACUACCGAUGGCGAAAGCACUCUGAGAAGACGGCUGCGACAGUGAGGGACGAAAGCUAGGGUCUCAAACCGGAUUAGAUACCCCAGUAGUCC